AUUGAACGCUGGCGGCAUGCCUUACACAUGCAAGUCGAACGGCAGCAUGAUCUAGCUUGCUAGAUUGAUGGCGAGUGGCGAACGGGUGAGUAAUACAUCGGAACGUGCUCUGUAGUGGGGGAUAACUAGUCGAAAGAUUAGCUAAUACCGCAUACGACCUGAGGGUGAAAGUGGGGGACCGCAAGGCCUCAUGCUAUAGGAGCGGCCGAUGUCUGAUUAGCUAGUUGGUGAGGUAAAGGCUCACCAAGGCGACGAUCAGUAGCUGGUCUGAGAGGACGAUCAGCCACACUGGGACUGAGACACGGCCCAGACUCCUACGGGAGGCAGCAGUGGGGAAUUUUGGACAAUGGGCGAAAGCCUGAUCCAGCAAUGCCGCGUGUGUGAAGAAGGCCUUCGGGUUGUAAAGCACUUUUGUCCGGAAAGAAAUGGCUCUGGUUAAUACCUGGGGUCGAUGACGGUACCGGAAGAAUAAGGACCGGCUAACUACGUG
rnacentral:rRNA from 1 species